rnacentral:rRNA from 1 species
UCUACGGGUGGCAGCAGUGAGGAAUAUUGGUCAAUGGCCGGAAGGCUGAACCAGCCAAGCCGCGUGAAGGACGAAGGUGCCAAGCAUUGUAAACUUCUUUUGUCAAGGGACAAAAUCAGGCUCGAGAGCCUGACCGCGGGUACUUGAAGAAAAAGCAUCGGCUAACUCCGUGCCAGCAGCCGCGGUAAUACGGAGGAUGUGUGCGUUAUCCGGAUUUAUUGGGUUUAAAGGGUGCGUAGGGGGACUGUUAAGUCGGCGGUAAAAGCCCGGGGCUCAACCCCGGCGAGCCGUUGAAACUGGGUGUAUUGAGAGGUCGAGAGGGAUGCGGAAUGCGCGGUGUAGCGGUGAAAUGCUUAGAUAUUGCGAAGAACUCCGAUUGCGAAGGCAGCAUACCGGCGGGGAUCUGACGCUGAGGCACGAAAGCGUGGGGAUCGAACAGGAUUAGAUACCCGUGUAGUC